rnacentral:rRNA from 1 species
UACGGAGGGUGCGAGCGUUGUCCGGAAUCACUGGGCGUAAAGGGCGCGUAGGCGGCCGUGUAAGUCACUUGUGAAAAUCCCGGGGCUCAACCCCGGGGCUGCAGGUGAGACUGCGUGGCUAGAGCACGGUAGAGGCGAGUGGAAUUCCCGGUGUAGCGGUGGAAUGCGUAGAUAUCGGGAAGAACACCGGUGGCGAAGGCGGCGAUCUGGGAAGAUACGUGACGCUGAGGUGCGAAAGCGUGGGGAGCAAACAGGG